UAUAACCAGGGGCUGCCAGGGCCUCUGUGAAGCUGGGUCUGCCAGAAGCGGAGGAGGAGGCGGCGGCCCCUGCCCCUCUAAGCGAGGCCGCCCCCCACCCAUGGACACCAAGACACAGAGCCUUCCCAACACCCACGCCCAGCCCCACAGCAACUCUCGGCCCCAAAGCCACGCCUGCCACCGCUGCAGCUGCAGCCAGCGCUGCCAGAGCCGCAGCCGCAGCCGCAGCCGCAGCCGCAGCGCCAGCCGGCGCCCGAGGAGCCACUGCAGCCCCGCUGGCCGCCAGGGCCAGAGCCCAGGCCCCAGCCCUCCUCUGAGGCGCCACAGACACACCAUGCACUCCCACCAGUGUCCCUCGCGGUCCAUCACCCACUCUUGCAGCCACUCCAAGAACAGAAAGAACUUGGAGGGAAAGGUGAUCAAGAGGAAGCAGGUCAAGAGGAGCAAGCAGGUGUACAAAAGAAAGAGGCAGAGCUCAGGUACCUGUCAAGCCGGUGGCCUUUCACAGGACUCCCCCAGAGAAGGGCGGUGCAGCCCAGCGGGGCUGUAGAGGCAGUGAGGUGAAGGCUGCCUCCGCCAAGUCAGAGCACAGAGGACGCACAGGACAGAAGUACAACUGAGAUGGCACCCCAUGGCUUGUUCCUGUGUCUGUUUCAUCAAGAUAAGAAACGCCAUCACACGUGGAACAUUAGAAGGAAGAAGUCAACUUUGCAGGAACAUGUUACUACAGUGGUUACUGCAGUGAUUUCUAUGCAACAUUGAGUAAAGCUUGUACACUGGAUGACUUA